UUUCCUGAUAGCUUAAGGGUAGAGCGUAUGGCUGUUAACCAUUAGGUUGUAGGUUCGAAUCCUACUCAGGAAGU
rnacentral:tRNA from 1 species